rnacentral:rRNA from 1 species
CUCGCAAACUGGAGAUGGCGACCGGCGCACGGGUGAGUAACACGUAUCCAACCUGCCGAUAACUCGGGGAUAGCCUUUCGAAAGAAAGAUUAAUACCCGAUGGCAUAAUAGAACCGCAUGGUUUGAUUAUUAAAGAAUUUCGGUUAUCGAUGGGGAUGCGUUCCAUUAGGCAGUUGGUGGGGUAACGGCCCACCAAACCUUCGAUGGAUAGGGGUUCUGAGAGGAAGGUCCCCCACAUUGGAACUGAGACACGGUCCAAACUCCUACGGGAGGCAGCAUG